AAAUGCAGAUUUUAUUGUCAUAUCUGAUUCAAUAGAACCGCUUCGUUGAUAAUCAAUUUGAUUUCAAUUCUAAAUCUAAAGUAGAGAAAAUCAGAAAAACAAAAUGUUGCAAUCUCUUGGGAUUAAUUGCCUUUUGCUGUCAAAUGUUGGAUACUAACUUGUUAAAUAAUUUUAGUUGGUGAAAUCAUUUAAUUAAAAAAAAAAAAGAAAAGAAAAGAGGAAAAGACGAGUUUGGAUGCUGCCUAUGAAUCAGUGAUUGGCAACGAGAAAGGAAAGGCAGAGAGUGGUAUCCAAAGGAACCAGUGGGUGUUUGAUAAAAUGUUUAAAAGAAUAUAGUGUUAUGGGUCUAGAAGAUGAUGGUUAUUUUUGUAAUUUAUAAUUAUUCUAUAAAUUUUAAUUAACAAUUUCAUUUUGACUAACGAAAUUUCUUUUAACAUAAGGAACACAUAAUUGGAUUUAAAGAUAAUGAAGAAUAUUUUAAUUAAAAUUAAAAAUUAUAAAAACUAACUAAUUAAUUUCACUAAAAAUUUAGAAGUGUUAUAAUAAUUUUUCUUUUUCCUAAAUGGGUUUGCUCCUUAAAUACUUGCCUGAUUUCUAUGAUGAUUGUUUGU
rnacentral:lncRNA from 1 species